rnacentral:rRNA from 1 species
CCUACGGGUGACUGCAGUCGAGAAUCAUUCACAAUGGGGGAAACCCUGAUGGUGCGACGCCGCGUGGGGGAAUGAAGGUCUUCGGAUUGUAAACCCCUGUCAUGUGGGAGCAAAUUAAAAAGAUAGUACCACAAGAGGAAGAGACGGCUAACUCUGUGCCAGCAGCCGCGGUCAUACAGAGGUCUCAAGCGUUGUUCGGAAUCCCUGGGCGUAAAGCGUUCGUAGGCUGUUUCGUAAGUCGUGUGUGAAAGGCGCGGGCUCAACCCGCGGACGGCACAUGAUACUGCGAGACUAGAGUAAUGGAGGGGGAACCGGAAUUCGCGGUGUAGCAGUGAAAUGCGUAGAUAUCGAGAGGAACACUCGUGGCGAAGGCGGGUUCCUGGACAUUAACUGACGCUGAGGCACGAAGGCCAGGGGAGCGAAAGGGAUUAGAUACCCCAGUAGUC